GCCCCGGCGGCUCCUUCCCCGCCCGCCCCCGCCGCCUCUCCAGGCCUCGCCGUCCCUGGGGCCGCCCCUUGGGAACGGAGGAUGAUGAAGCUCAAGUCCAACCAGACGCGCACCUACGACGGGGAUGGCUACAAGAAACGGGCGGCCUGUCUGUGCUUCCGCAGCGAGAGCGAGGAGGAGGUGCUGCUGGUUAGCAGUAGUCGUCAUCCGGAUCGAUGGAUCGUCCCUGGGGGCGGCAUGGAGCCCGAGGAGGAGCCCAACGUGGCUGCCGUGCGAGAAGUCUGCGAAGAGGCUGGAGUGAAAGGGACGUUAGGAAGAUUGGUGGGAAUUUUUGAGAAUCGGGACAGGAAACAUAGGACAUAUGUUUACGUACUGAUUGUCACAGAAGUGUUGGAAGACUGGGAGGACUCUGUCAAUAUUGGAAGGAAAAGGGAAUGGUUUAAGAUAGAAGAUGCCAUCAAAGUUCUGCAGUAUCACAAACCGGUGCAGGCCUCGUAUUUUGAAACCUUGAGGCAAGGCUGCUUGGCAAACAACGGCACUCCAGUCAUGACCACGACGUACUCUGAGGGCUCUGUGUCUGACAUCAGAUGACUGAGGACGUCCCUGUGAGAGAGAUUUUGAAAAACAGACUGAAACAUGGAUUUCCCCCCCCUCCCCUCCCCUUUUUCACAUGCCUCCUCUAUCAAACAAGGCAUGGGCAGCAGCCUGUGGCAGAGCAAGUGUUAAGAGUGCUGCAAUUUAGUGCAAGUGCUAGUGGCUGGGCCAGUUUACUCCCCAUUCAGCAACUCCCCAUUUGGUGCAGUGACUCUUGAAGUUGAGGGCAGAGUUUUGAUCACCUGCAGACAUCCCUGCUGCUCAGUCGCUUCUCCUGCAGCUUCUGCCGCCGUUUCUGCUUUUCACAUCAAAAUGAAACAAAAAGAGUUGGUCUUUUAGGGCUUGGCCAAAAAUAAGUAGCCUCAGAAACGCUACGGUAGGAAACAAACGUCUGUGGUGGGGAUUCAGAGGGGGCUCAAAGUCUGACAAACUGGAGUGUCAAUCACCAAUGCUGUUCUGCUGAUCCUGCUGCAUUCUGCUGAUGUCUCUUCUUGUCCACAUGCCUUACACCGUGCUGAACUGGAUAUCCUAACUUGUGCUGAAGCAUCGGAUUGUACUUAGUGAGUGUUGCUGCGCCGACCCUUGGCUGGAUGACCACGAAUAUCCCUGAGAAGAAGCCCGGGGGGAAAAAUUCAGGUGUUCAAUCUCUUGCCCUGUGGUUCCGCAGCACUUGCAGUUGCACCAUGGAGCACAUUCAGAAUGUUUAAGCUGUCCCUCCGUGAAAGGUACAGCUGACUCCUGAGCAGAGUUGCUGGUUGGAGGAGCGCACCGUUGGUAGGACGGCUUCCCCGAUGCGUUGGCACGCUUCACUUUUUUUUGUUGUUCUGUUUUUAUUGAUGUAAGUUUCAUGCUGUCUUGAUUUGCCAACAGUGUUGUCUAGUUGGGAAAUAAAAU